rnacentral:rRNA from 1 species
AUGCCUGGGAAAUUGCCCGGAAGAGGGGCCUUUCCAUUGGAAACGAUGGCUAAUACCGCAUAACCUCGCAAGAGCAAAGAGGGGGACCUUCGGGCCUCGCGCUACCGGAUAUGCCCAGGUGGGAUUAGCUAGUUGGUGAGGUAAGGGCUCACCAAGGCGACGAUCCCUAUCUGGUCUGAGAGGAUGAUCAGCCACACUGGAACUGAGACACGGUCCAGACUCCUACGGGAGGCAGCAGUGGGGAAUAUUGCACAAUGGGCGCAAGCCUGAUGCAGCCAUGCCGCGUGUAUGAAGAAGGCCUUCGGGUUGUAAAGCACUUUCAAUAGGGAGGAAGGUGGUUAAGUUAAUACCUUAAUCAUUUGACGUUACCUACAGAAGAAGCACCGGCUAACUCCGUGCCAGCAGCCGCGGUAAUACUGAGGGUGCAAGCGUUAAUCGGAAUUACUGGGCGUAAAGCGCAUGCAGGUGGUUUGUUAAGACAGAUGUGAAAGCCCUGGGCUCAACCUAGGAAUCGCAUUUGAAACUGACAACCUAGAGUUACUGUAGAGGGGG